UGCUUCUGUUUGUUUGAGCAACCUUCAACCUAGCUUGUGUGAGCUCAAGAAUAAAGAAAAGUUUAAGAGUCAACACGUUGUUUUUUUUAAACAUGGAAAAUCAGAGAUUUAUCACCCUUUCACUGAAUUUGAAAAGAAAAUUCAUUUCCCUACAAAUUUGUCGAUAAUGUAGGUUUUGAAAAGUUGCAUCAACGAAUUCCUGUUUUCACUUCCGAAAAAACGCAAUCUAAAUAGCCUUCAUCAUCGUGACAUGACACACUACUUGUGUGGACGUCAGAAAUGUGAUUGUGAAUGCAGGAGGGAUCACCGAUCGAAGACGUGCCGUCUCACGUGACAGAAGCCGUGCAAUAAUAUGCGAUGGUGUACGUUUCUCUUGUGAAUUUAAACUACCGAUCGAUGUUUGUUUUUCUUUGAACGAUUCUGGGAUAUAUAAAGACCACCCGAAGGCCAAAGGACAUCACUAUUUUCUAACCGACAGAACUGCAAACGUAAAUCCAACGAAGAAGAAUCAACAUGAAAACAGUGGUUGUAUUGGUAAUUCUAUUGGUGGCAGUUGUUGCCGUCAUUGUUUCCGAAGAACAUUCAGAACAAUUUGCAGUGAAGUUAAUCGCAAACUCAUCAGAUCUUGCCACAGCCGGACAGCGUUUUAGGUACUACAAAGUGCAAUCCGUCAAGCUGACACAGCAAAAAAAAGUACCGAAGAAACCGAGUGGUUAUUCUGGCUAUCAGAGCGGAUACGGUUUUUUCCGCGGUCGCCGUUUCGCCAACAACAACGAGAGCGUGUUUUCUUCCGACUAAUGGCGUUUGAAAGUGUCAUGCUCCCAUUACACGAAAACGAAUAAGAAAACGAGCAAAAAAAAGAAUUGGUUGGUCCGCUUUGAUAUAUAUCAUGUGUCAUUUUUAAUCGAAUGCUUCCUCAUUCAGUUUAUUUUCAUUCGUUUCGAAUAAAUUUCUUGCCAAACACA